rnacentral:rRNA from 1 species
AGAGUUUGAUCCUGGCUCAGGAUGAACGCUAGCUACAGGCUUAACACAUGCAAGUCGAGGGGAAACGAUAUUGGAAGCUUGCUUCCGAUAGGCGUCGACCGGCGCACGGGUGAGUAACGCGUAUCCAACCUGCCCACCACUUGGGGAUAACCUUGCGAAAGUAAGACUAAUACCCAAUGAUAUCUCUAGAAGACAUCUGAAAGAGAUUAAAGAUUUAUCGGUGAUGGAUGGGGAUGCGUCUGAUUAGCUUGUUGGCGGGGUAACGGCCCACCAAGGCGACGAUCAGUAGGGGUUCUGAGAGGAAGGUCCCCCACAUUGGAACUGAGACACGGUCCAAACUCCUACGGGAGGCAGCAGUGAGGAAUAUUGGUCAAUGGGCGAGAGCCUGAACCAGCCAAGUAGCGUGCAGGAAGACGGCCCUAUGGGUUGUAAACUGCUUUUAUAAGGGAAUAAAGUGAGUCUCGUGAGACUUUUUGCAUGUACCUUAUGAAUAAGGACCGGCUAAUUCCGUGCCAGCAGCCGCGGU